GACGAACGCUGGCGGCGUGCUUAACACAUGCAAGUCGAACGGGUCUGCCCUGUUUUUUGCGGGGUGGUUCGGUGGCGACCGGUGAAGUAACACGUGAGUAACCUGCCCCUCACUUCUGGAUAACCGCUUGAAGGGGUGGCUAAUACGGGUGUUUCUGCCUGUGCGGCAGGGUGUGGCUGGGAAAAAUUCACUUUUUGGUUUUUUUGGGGGGGGAUGGGCUCGCGGCCUAUCAGCUUGUUGGUGGGGUGAGGGCCUGCCAAGGCUUUGACGGGUAGCCGGCCUGAGAGGGUGGGCGGUCACACUGGGACUGAGAUACGGCCCAGACUCCUGCGGGAGGCAGCAGUGGGGGGUAUUGCACAAUGGGCGGAAGCCUGAUGCAGCGACGUCGCGUGAGGGAUGGAGGCCUUCGGGUUGUGAACCUCUUUCGCCGGUGAAGAAGGUCCUGCUCUUUGUGGUGGGGUUGACGGUAGCCGGGUUAUGAAGCGCCGGCUAACUACGUG
rnacentral:rRNA from 1 species